rnacentral:rRNA from 1 species
UACAGAGGGUGCGAGCGUUGUUCGGAAUUAUUGGGCGUAAAGGGCGCGUAGGCGGUCCGCCAAGUCAGGGGUGAAAUCCUGCAGCUUAACUGUAGAAGUGCCUCUGAUACUGGCGGUCUUGAGGGAAAUAGGGGUGUGCGGAACUUCCAGUGGAGCGGUGAAAUGCGUUGAUAUUGGAAGGAACGCCGGAGGCGAAAGCGGCGCACUGGAUUUCUUCUGACGCUGAGGCGCG